GUCCUUUGGCAUUGGGCAACGGCCCACCCCCGUCUUUCGGGAUCGUCGCCCAGGUCCCGUGAUUUCAGGAUUCCCGCAGGGUGGAGCCAGGCUGAGGAAAGCUGCAGGGGAGUUUCAGGGAUGCCCAGGGCGAUCCCCAAGGAUCCCCAGGAUACUUCAGGCCUGCUCAGACGCUGUGGGAAAUGCGUCUCCUUGAACGCUGUCCCUGCUGGGAAUUCCAGCUCUUGGAUGGCAGGAAAGAGUUCCUAGAGAGAGAAGACAAAGAGCCUUUGUGCUGCAAAAGAAACCCCAGGCUGAAGACUGGAGAUCUGAAUGUGCAACCUGCAAGGGAACUGGAGACAAUGAAACUCCUGUCAGGUCAAGUUGACAAGGGGUCUCAGUGUAGAGGCCAUCAAAGUAAUUUUGGU